rnacentral:rRNA from 1 species
GACAGAGGUGCCGAGCGUUAGGCGGAAUCACUGGGCUUAAAGCGUGUGUAGGCGGAUCGUUAAGUGCCUUGUGAAAUCCCACGGCUCAACCGUGGAACUGCUUGGCAUACUGGCGAUCUUGAGCCACUUAGGGGCUACCGGAACAAAUGGUGGAGCGGUGAAAUGCGUAGAUAUCUGGAGGAACACCGGUGGCGAAAGCGGCUUACUGGAUCGAAUCUGACGCUGAGGUGCGAAAGCUAGGGUAGCAAACGGG